AAGAUAAUUAAUAUAAAAGUUUCUAACUUUUUAAUAGCAUUAAAUUGUUUUUAUCUUA
rnacentral:tRNA from 1 species